rnacentral:rRNA from 1 species
UACGUAGGUGGCAAGCGUUAUCCGGAAUUACUGGGCGUAAAGCGCACGCAGGCGGUCUUUUAAGUUUGACGUGAAAGCUCCCGGCUUAACUGGGAGAGGUCGUUGAAUACUGGAAGACUUGAGGCAAUGAGAGGGGUGUAGAAUUCCCGGUGUAGUGGUGGAAUGCGUAGAUAUCGGGGGGAAUACCAGUGGCGAAAGCGGCACCCUAGCGUUAGCCUGACGCUCAUGUGCGAAGGCGUGGGGAGCGAACGGG